UACGUAGGGUGCAAGCGUUGUCCGGAAUUAUUGGGCGUAAAGAGCUCGUAGGCGGUUUGUCGCGUCUGCUGUGAAAUCCCAGGGCUUAACCCUGGGCCUGCAGUGGGUACGGGCAAACUAGAGUGCGGUAGGGGAGAUCGGAAUUCCUGGUGUAGCGGUGAAAUGCGCAGAUAUCAGGAGGAACACCGGUGGCGAAGGCGGGUCUCUGGGCCGAUACUGACGCUGAGGCGCGAAAGCGUGGGGAGCAAACAGG
rnacentral:rRNA from 1 species